rnacentral:rRNA from 1 species
AGAGCGUUUGGUGGAUGCCUAGGCGUCAAGGGCCGAAGAAGGACGCGGUACACUGCGAAAAGCCUCGGGGAGCCGUGUGCAGGCGAAGAACCGGGGGUAUCCGAAUGGGGAAACCCGACUGGUUGAAGACCAGUCACGGUGUGCAGAACACAUAAGCACACCGGGGGAACGUGGGGAACUGAAACAUCUUAGUACCCACAGGAAAAGAGAGUAUUCUCCGAGUAGUGGCGAGCGAAAGGGGAACAGCCCAAACCAGCAUAACUACGGUUGUGGUGGGGUUGUAGGACCGACAGAACAAACUGAAAGCUAGCUGAAAGACACUGGAAAGGUCUGCCAGAGACGGUGAAAGCCCGGUAGGCGAAAGCGGAAGGGGAGAGUUGGGAUCCUGAGUACCACGGGACACGAGAAACCCUGUGGGAAGCUGGGCAGACCACUGCCCAAGGCUAAAUACCCUUGACGACCGAUAGCGAACAAGUACCGUGAGGGAAAGGUGAAAAGAACCCCGGUAAGGGGAGUGAAAUAGAAUCUGAAACCGAGCGCUUACAAGCGGUCAGAGCACUAUGUUGGUUCGUCUAAGACGGGCCGAAAAGUGUGAUGGCGUGCCUUUUGGAGAAUGAGCCAGCGAGUUACUUUUUGUUGCGAGGUUAAGGCAAGUACAGCCGGAGCCGAAGGGAAACCGAGUCUGAACAGGGCGCGGGCCAGCACUAGCUGUUGGUCACAGUAGCAAGGAGUAGACACGAAACCAGGUGAGCCACCCAUGGUCAGGCUGAAGCGAGGCUAACCCCUCGUGGAGGGCCGAACCUUUCACUGUUGCAAAAGUGUGGGAUGAACUGUGGGUAGCGGUGAUAUGCCAAACGAACUUGGAGAUAGCUUGUUCUCCCCGAAAUAGCUUUAGGGCUAGCCUCGUGGGAUGAGUGAUGGAGGUAGAGCACUGGCUGGGCAAGGGGGCGCAAGCCUACCGCACCCAAUCAAACUCCGAAUGCCAUCACUAGUAGAACACGGGAGUCGGACUACGAAUGAUGAGAUCCGUAGUCGAGAGGGAAAGAGCCCAGACCGUCGGCUAAGGUCCCGAAGUGCAAGCUAAGUGGGAAACGAUGUGGGAUUGCAGAGACAGCCAGGAGGUUGGCUUAGAAGCAGCCAUCCUUGAAAGAGUGCGUAAUAGCUCACUGGUCAAGCGAUCCUGCGCGGAAAAUGUAACGGGGCUAAAGCUUGCCACCGAAGCCACGGAGGUCAAUCUUAGGAUUGGUCUGGUAGGGGAGCGUCGUGUGACCGUCGAAGCUGUACUGUAAGGAGCAGUGGAGGUCACAGGAGUGAGAAUGCUGGCAUGAGUAGCGUAAAAUACGUGAGAACCGUAUUCGCCGAAAGCCCAAGGGUUCCGACGGAAGGUCAGUCCGCGUCGGGUUAGUCGGGCCUAAGCCGAGGCCGCAAGGCGUAGGCGAUGGACAUCCGGUUAAUAUUCCGGAACCACCUAAGCAGAGCGAAGGGGAGACGCAACAGGGUAGAUCAACCCCCCGGAUGGAAGAGGGGGGCCAAGCGUGUAGGCUAGUGAUGGGUGUAGGCAAAUCCGCACCCGGAAGUCGAGGCGCGAAGGGGACGCGAAAGAGCGGAAGUGAUUGAUCCCAGUUGCCAAGAAAAGCCUCUAAGUGACGAAGCUUAGGUGACCGUACCGCAAACCGACACAGGUGGGCAGGUAGAGGAUACCAAGGCGAACGGGAGAACCUUCAUCAAGGAAUUAGGCAAAUUAACCCCGUAACUUCGGGAGAAGGGGUGCCUCGGUGUGUGAGCUCUGAACAGAAGGAGCACACGGAGGUCGCAGUGACAAGGCUUUAGCGACUGGUUACCAAAACCACAGGUCUCUGCAAACUCGAAAGAGGACGUAUAGGGGCUGACACCUGCCCAGUGCCGGAAGGUUAAGGGGAGUGGUUAGGGCGCGUGAGAACGCGUUCGAAGCUACGAACCGAAGCCCCGGUGAACGGCGGCCGUAACUAUAACGGUCCUAAGGUAGCGAAAUUCCUUGUCGGGUAAGUUCCGACCCGCACGAAUGGUGUAACGACUAAAGCACUGUCUCGAUGAAGGACCCGGCGAAAUUGAAGACGCGGUAAAGAUGCCGUGUACCCGCAGCAGGACAAAAAGACCCCGUGGAGCUUUACUGCAACUUGAUACUGGGUUAGGGUUUAGCUUGUGUAGGAUAGGUGGGAGGCAGAGAAGCCAGGGCGCCAGCCUUGGUGGAGCCGCCAGUGAAAUACCACCCUGGCUAAAUCUUUACUCUAACUCUCAGCCGUAAACCGGCGAGGGGACCGUGUCAGGCGGGCAGUUUGACUGGGGUGGUCGCCUCCCAAAAGGUAACGGAGGCGCCCAAAGGUUCCCUCAGGUGGAAUGGAAACCCACCGCAGAGUGCAAAGGCAUAAGGGAGCUUGACUGCGAGGCCGACGGGCCGAGCAGAGACGAAAGUCGGGCUUAGUGAUCCCACGGUACCGAGUGGAAGGGCCGUGGCAAACGGAUAAAAGCUACCCCGGGGAUAACAGGGUGGUAGGGCCCAAGAGUUCACAUCGACGGCCCUGGUCGCCACCUCGAUGUCGGCUCGGCACAUCCUGGGGCUGGACAAGGUCCCAAGGGUUGGACUGUUCGUCCAUUAAAGUGUCACGCGAGCUGGGUUCAGACCGUCGUGAGACAGGUCGGUCUCUAUCCGCUGUGGGCGUAGGGGACUUGAGGGGAGCUGCCCUCAGUACGAGAGGACCAGGGUGGACGAACCGCUAGUGUGUCAGUUGUACCGCCAGGUGCAUGGCUGAGUAGCUAGGUUCGGCAAGGAUAACCGCUGAAAGCAUCUAAGUGGGAAGCCAGCCCCGAGACGAGGUCCCCCAUCCCGGAAAGGGAGUAAGGCCGCUGGGAGACUACCAGUUAGAUAGGCGGGAGGUGU